UACGUAGGGGGCAAGCGUUGUCCGGAUUUAUUGGGCGUAAAGAGCGUGUAGGCGGCCGCACAGGUCCGUUGUGAAAACUGGAGGCUUAACCUCCAGACGUCGAUGGAAACCGUGCGGCUAGAGUUCGGUAGGGGAGUGUGGAAUUCCUGGUGGAGCGGUGAAAUGCGCAGAGAUCAGGAGGAACACCCGUAGCGAAGGCGGCACUCUGGGCCGAUACUGACGCUGAGGAGCGAAAGCGUGGGGAGCGAACAGG
rnacentral:rRNA from 1 species